ensembl:lncRNA
CUCGAUUGCUUUCCGCCCUCCCACUCUCCCCCGUCUCUCUCUCGCUCUCUCUCUCUCUCUCUCUCUCUCUCUCUCUCUCUCUCUCUCUCUCUCUCUCUCUCUCUCUCUCUCUCUCUCUCUCUCUCUCUCUCUCUUUUCCCUCUUGGUCUCCAUCUCCCACCCUCCCUCUCUCAAGUGCAUAUACAGUUCCUUGCCAUGUUGGACGUGUGAUGAAAAAGUGGCUGGCUCUCGUGCUCCGCCGCACCUCCUAUUUCAUCAUCAGUCGAGCUUUUCUCUCCUUCACUCUGCGCUUGCUGCCUCGUCUCUUCUAUCGCUCGCUCCCCUGUUCUCAGCUCCAGCCGCACGCAGGGGGGGGAGACUCGAGCUCUGUGGGGAGAAAAAAAGAACAAAGGUUUGCUGCUAUUUCUACAGUCAGGGCCUCCCCACAGCCCGCCCUUCCAUAGAGGAGAUUUUUUUAUUUUUUUUACUACUUGCUGGAUUUUAACCCUCUGCCUCCAAAUAUCUACACAACAGCUCUGCAAAAACCUGGCAACAAGUAGCUUUUUUGGGGCCUUUCCGUAGUUUUGUGCGGCAAUUUUUGCAUCACUUUGGACCUUGGUGGUAUUUCUUCUUUUUGGGUGUUAUUUUUUUCAUCUGCAUUGAUACCCAGAGUUUUAUAUUUGUCUUUGAAAGAGUUUUGGCGGUGUUUAUUUUCGAUGCCUUCUUUUUUUUGUCGCCGUUUGGUCGUGUUUGUAAUCUCGCCACGUGAUGAGCCUUCUUCCUCCUGUAGCUGUGUUCGUACGGGCAUCAUUCCUACUGGAGAUGUCGAUCCAGCGGGGGGAAAAGAGAGGAAGAGAGAAGCUGCUCAGAAUUUCACCCCCGGAUUCGGAACGUUUCGGAAUCGCCUCUACUGCAGAAUAUUUGACCUGAGCCCUAGGACCAUGCCUCAGGACUACCUGGCAUGAUGACUCCUUGCUGUCCCCAGUCCGCCUGGCCGUGCUGCUGCUCCAGUUUCAACUGUUCUGCCUGUGAUUAUUAUUAUUUGACCAUGCUGGUCAUUUAUGAACAUUUGAACAUCUUGGCACAGCCAGAAGAGGACUGGCCACCCCUCAUAGCCUGGUUCCUCUCUUCCUUUCUUCCUAGGUUUUGGCCUUUCUAGGGAGUUUUUCCUAGACACCGUGCUUCUACACCUGCAUUGCUUGCUGUUUGGGGUUUUAGGCUGGGUUUCUGUGCAGUACUUUGAGAUAUCAGCUGAUGUACGAAGGGCUUUAUAAAUACAUUUGAUUUGGACUUAACAUCUGUCCUGUCCAAAAAUAAAUCGAGAAAUUACAAUAGUGGAUCCAAACUCUCAUCUCCUUUUAAAAAAAAUGAAAACAAGUUGUCCUGACCUGGUUGACUGGGACUAAGGUACUGGAGUACCAGUGUAGGCCGCCGGGUCUGUGAUGGUCCUUUGGGGUGAGGUAGUAGGUUGUAUAGUUUUAGGGUCAUACCCUUCCUGUCAGAUAACUAUACAACUUACUGUCUUUCCUGAAGUGGCUGUAAUAUCAUCCAUCAUCUCUGCAGCGCGCCCGCCACCCGGACCUCGAUGGGAAUAUGUACUAUGAACCAAUUCAAGAUGAUAACAUGCUUGUAAUGUCAUUCAUAUGGCAUCUAUGCAUCAUUCGGUUCUGUUUUGGUAUGGCUCUUUGUUCAUUUCAAUACUUUUGUUUGUAUGAUGUAUUUAUUAUUUUGCCAUGAAAGGGAUCUGCCUCUCUGAUGUUCGCACGGGGUGAGGUAGUAGGUUGUGUGGUUUCAGGGUAGUGAUUUUGCCCCAUCAGGAGAUAACUAUACAACUUACUGCCUUCCCUGAAGGGCAGCAACACUACACCAGACAACUGCAGAGGGUGCUGUUGGCACCACGUGAUAAUCUAGCAUUGGAACGAGGUCAUCUAGGUUUUGAUCAGCUACAGAGGUGACUGCAGCGUUUCAGGUAAAGUCUCCUGACAAUCUAGUAUUACGAUGUAGCUACCAUGUUAUUUGAUCACUUUGAAAUAGUAUUUAUUCAAAUAAGCAAUAAAAAAGUAUUAUUUUAUAAAUGUCAACUGUCUGUACUUCGUCUUUCAUUUUGCUCUGUUUGGAUUUAAGAAUCAUAUGAAACUCUUCAGCAGAUGAUAGACAGGACUCUAGCUCCCUAGUCCUAGCCAACAACGCAGAGAGAUAGAGAGAAGACGGAGUGUGUUUGCCAGUCAGUAUCGGGCCAAUAUGGGUUUCAGACGUGCCUUACUGUCUAGGACUGCAGUCUGUCUGCUGUAUCUCAUAGCAAGGACAGAUAGAUUUAUUGCCCUGGCUGGUCCAGGCCUGGUUCAGGUUCACACUGGGACCUUUACCUUAGUGCCUGGCCUUGAGCAGCUCACAGGCAGAUAGCUGUAACUCUUUCUUUGGUCUCAUGGGUGGAAUGUUAUUAAUCUAUUUCAUUAUUAAUAAAGAUUAUACCUUUUUUAAACAUCUAAAAGCUGGUGUUUCUAUGUCAAAUAGUUUUGUUCCAUUUCAGUCUUGUGUGAUAUAUAUGUAUAGGGAUGCGAACUCAAAAUGAAAUAAAUAUCAAGUCUAUGUCUGACAUGGUAUAGGUGCCUUAUUUUACUAAGCUCAUAACCACGUGUGUCUGGUGUUUCAAAGUAGAUUUGUUGAAGACUACUACGAGUCACUGUGACCCUGAUUUAGCCCAGUGCAGUAAAAAGUUUUGAACUGGGUGCCCGCUUCAGCAAAGCUCAUCACAGCUCCUUGAUACAGUAUCUGAAAAAAAGCAUACGAGUUAAGUAUAAUUUACCUCAACAAAUAGGACAAUGUAACUGCACUCAAUACAGAUUUUUAAAAUCUCUCACGCCAAGAAUUUGGCCCUGGGUACAUGUAAAUCAGCCACAUUUUCCAUUUAUAUUGAUUAUUAAUACCCGUGUAUACAGCACUCCGUCUUCAACUGGUAUGCGUGUGUAGUUUCUCAGACCCUCAGUGCAGCUUAUAUUAGUAUGGAUCCUGCGCCUCUUACCAGUUCUCUGACCGGCCACCAUAUUGAAUUGAUGUGAGUCUUGGCCCUGGUGACAAAGGAGGGUGAGCUGAAUACUAAGACACAUGACACAAUGGCUCUGUUCACUCUGUCUCAGGGAGACACUCACCAGCCUGUUCCACCUAGCAUCUAGACUACAUUUUUAAUUUCAAGUGGUGACUGCCUGUGGGGUGAGGUCAUAUCAAUCAUACAGUGACUGUGUCUUCAUUUGCAUCCUUUUCAAGGCAUUCACUUAAAUGAGUGUCCUCUAGACACCUUCAUCUGAAAUAUUACCAUCCCCUAUUAUGAACACACUAUUAGGUAGUCACAUAAUGUGCAUGAUUUGGAUGAGUUGUAUUCCACUUUAAUACUUGAAACACAAUUUACUGGUAUGAAGAUCUACUCCACUUUAGUGAAAUGACUGCUUCGAAUUCAUAAAGGUGAUUAGAUCGCCAUCUAGUGCCUGCUUGUGCACAAGACCAGAGCCACUUAACAAUCAAGCAAUAACAUAUCUACACUGCUGCUGUCCCUAGCUGCUAAGAAGCGAUGUUCUCAGAACUCUCUAUUUUGCAGUUAAAUACAACACGUUUGACACAUUUCAGUUGAUUGAAUGUUGAUGCACUUUGUGCAUUUCAGCAGCAGGUGGGGGUAGAGGGCCAUUUCACUCUGCAGAGCCUUAAAAAAAUCCAUUUGGUGCAAUUUUCACAGGUAUGUGGUACAUUUUGUUGUACAACUGUUAGUACAAAACUCUAAACAGAUCAUCAAAAAGGCAGUUGUUUUAAAACUCUAAGCACCUUUUCAAUUGACUAAGUAGGACACACAAAAUCACAGUCGCUUUUUCUCCAAGUGUAAUCAUUUCGAAAUACAUGUUUCACAUUGCAAUACACAUUCAUAUCAAGUCAUUUCCUUUCACAGUUCAAUGCUCGCACUACUUUUUGAUAUCAUUUUAUUUUCAUUUGAUUGCUUGCUGUUUGGGGUUUUAGGCUGGGUUUCUGUACAGCACUUUGAGAUAUCAGCUGAUGUACGAAGGGCUAUAUAAAUAAAUUUGAUUUGAUUUGAUCCCUUUGAUUUGUCCCUGUAGGUAUGGGAACCCUUACGUUCCAUUUAGAACCCUCUCAUGAAGAACCCUCUGGUUCUAGGUAGAACCAAUGACAGGUUCUACAGUUAUAGGAUGCUUUAGAUGUGCUUAUGGCACACACUGUAAAAAAAUGUAAAAAACGGUGAUUUACCUGCUACUGAGUUGCAGUAAAAAUACAGUUUGUUUACAGUUGAAUAAAGGCGUUAUUGUUGUAAAA